UAGGCUACUUUGAAGCUUAAUGGAAAUAUUUAGCUAAUUAUGAAGCUAGUUCGGAACUAUACGAAGUUACUCGGGUAUUUGAUGCAGUUUGGGAAUUGUAUCUUCGCAGCAGGUUUCCGAACCACGUGGAGCUUAUUUGGUGACCUGGGAGGCUGGUUUAGAAGGUGUUCUACCUCGAGCAGGAGUGUGAUCGACUCUUGGAGUGAUUUUGGCUGACCUGUGGAAGCUCUGGAAGACUCGACUUGAGCAGAUCCAGGGACCGUUUGAGCUGAGUUUGGAGCAUCUCUUGGGCUGUUUUGAGCUUAGUGAUAGAGCCAUCUACAGGA